ACUUGCGAGACAGCUAUAAAUGAAAGGAAAUGUUCAGUUUAGUCAAGUCAAACACCAAGGGAAGUAAUCAUGCAGCCAGCACUAGUUAUUUUCUGUAUUGUGCUGGACAACUGUGGUGGAUGUCCGUAUGGUCAAGUGUGUGUGGACACUGGGAUUCGCUGUAUCACAGAGCCAUGUCCGACUUUCAGAUGUGUAGCUAACGACUCUUGUGGUGGUUGUCCACCAUGGGCAAAGUGUGAGAUUCUAUUUCCGCCAUGUCCGAUAUGUGUCGAUAGACCGCGCUGCAUUAGACCAAAGUGUUCGCCUGUACCAACAUGUGUGGACAUACCACCAAUAGACGAAUGUGGAGGUUGUCCAGCUGGUCAAGAAUGUCAGCCAACGGGAAUCGUCUGCAAGAAAGCCCCGUGUCCAACUCACAAGUGUGUCCUGGAUGCUCCUAUUAGACCCUGCACCCUAUUCUGCGUUAAAGGAUUAAGGUGUGUGGUCCGACCAAAAGAAUGUCCAGCCGGUACUUUGUACUGUGACAAGACUCCUGUGCCACAGUGUGUUCCAAUCAAGCUAGGUGCAUGCCCAAAAAUAAAUUAUAGUGGGAUAAAACCUGGUGUAUGUUUAUUUGAUGGGACUUGUAAUACAGACGAUGACUGCAGCCAGUUUGAAAGAUGCUGUGAAACAGGAUGCUACGAAAAGAAAUGUGUGGGCGUUCCAGUAAUAGAUUAAUUCACACACUUUUGAACACGCCUUUAAGAACGCUCGAGAUUUCUCAGUCAACUGUUUGCUGAAACUAUGGAAGAAUAAUUGUGAAAAGAUUUGCUGAGUCUUAUGUUUAAUCUUCUUUACCUUUACUAAUACAAAAUACAAAAAUAACUUUUUCUGUGUUUGUUUCAAACUAUAUAGAGUAUUAUCAUUAUUAUUAUUAUCAUUAUUAUUACUACUACUAAAAAAUCUAUGAUUACAUUUUUCUCCAACAAAUUAAAUGAUGUGAGCAUAUUAUUACUCCUUAAAAAAAAUCUUUUCUGUAUCUUAGUCGUUUUAAAAAAGUGUGAAAUAGAAACAAAUAUUUUCUUCUUUUGAGAUGCCAUCCUAUAGAAAGUAGACUGUCUGUAUGUGCAGGUAAUAUACACAAUGUUAAGAGCAAUGCAAAGCAAUGGAGUGCUUUAUUGUCUUAGGAAGUAACGUUGUAGGUAGAACCAUUGAAAUCUACUUGUCAAACAUCGCUCAAUCUAAGACGUCAUCCGCCACUUGAUCUUUUAAUGACAAAACUUAACAAAAAAAAAAACAACAGAAAAUCUUUUUGUUCCGUUAUUUUGCAGUUAAUAUCAGGGGCGUAGCUAGGGAUUUGGGUUCCUGGGGGAUCGACCUCUUUGGGGGCCCUUGCAUUUUGACAUUUGGCUUCAUGACAUGAGAUGAUCUGCUUAAUAAACAUAUAAGCCUACAUUCAAAUUCGUAAAGUAUAUCAGUAAAAUUAACAAGAAAUAAUCAUUAAGAAUCUUUUAAUGAAUAAUACCUUUGUUUAUUGGCAAAAUAAUGGCGAAAGAAUGCACAAGUGACAAAUCUCAAUUGAUAUCGCUUCACGUCGUGCUUUCUGUGCAUUAAAGGCAUCUAUAACAUCAGCUACAUCGAUACAGUAUUUUAUUUGUGUCUUCACUUAAUUUAAAGCCAUCCUAACUAAGCCUUUCUUGUGUCAUUGUGUCACUGACAUUAAAGUCAUGCUAAGUCUUUCUUAUAUCAUUGGGCUCCUGAGAUAGUUUUUGAUUAACUUGAGCUUUGAAAUUUUCUUUCACAUGACGCAAUGGAAAUUGCCUAAGUUAGCAGAUUUCGGAUGCAGGUUGCAAGGUUUGAGCACACAUCAUUACCAUAUGAAGCCAGCUUCCUCAAUAUGUCAAUUGGUGAUUGUGGCACUGGUUUGUUCAUGAAAAGUGCUCGUGCAUCAAUGAUAUCAUUCAAUAAGCGAUUUGCCUGUAUCAAACAGGAAAAAGUAACACAGUUGUUCUUCAUCGUGUCAUCAUCCAUAGACCCCAAAAGGUGUCUUGUUUCAAGAAGAAACCCAAAGGUGUCCACAUGGUUUUCCAGCCUUUGGAAUCUGUCCUUCAUCUCCAUAUGAAGUCUGUCCAGCCUUUGGAAUCUGUCCUUCAUCUCAAUAUAAAGUCUGCCCAGCACUUCUGUCGCAACACAUUUGAAUUGCAGUUCUAUUGACAGUCCUACAUCAGAACUCAACUCCCCAUCAAGGUUUCUUUUUUAUGGUUAUUUUGAUUACAGGAAAUCCAUAGCAUUCACUACCUUCUUUUGCUUUAUCGAUGGAUUGUGUGAUCAGUUUCGUCCGUUUCUCAUCAUUUUGCAGAAAGCAUGAAAGGGUUUUGAUUUCUUCAGCAGCUUCCUUAUGUGCAGUCCAGACUUUUGUAGAUUCUUCUGAACUAUAUUAAUUUGGCGCAGGAGAUUUGACCAGUAUUCCAGAUAAGCAAAAACUUCAUAAUUUUCCAAUGCAUGAAGACAAUUUUGUGAACUGCUUCUAGUGUCCAUUUUUUCAGUUGUUGAUUCAGAAAGUUUCUCCAACAGUUUGAUGAUUUUGUCGAGAUGCAAGGAAACUGCCGACGUAGCUUCUUCUCUUGCCGACCACCUUGUAUUACUUUCUUCAAGCCUCGAGGCUCCAGCUUCUUUCAGUUUGGCCCAUCUCUGGAGUGAAUUUGAAAAAAAAAAGUUGAACAAUUCAUGUAGAAAUCCAAAAAUAGGUAACAAUUGCUGGAUUUAUCUCAGCAGAAUGAAGAGCUGCCAGGUUCAGAGAGUGACUAUCACAGUUCAGAAAUGUUGUCUUUGGAUUUAUGUCUAAGAGACGUUUCUGCAGGCCAGACAGACGUCCACUCAUUGUGGCUGCGUUAUCAUAGGUUUGACCUCUGCACAGAUCAAAGUCCAGUCCAAUGUCUUUAAAAGUUUUCAGAACAAGUUCUUCAUAAUGUUGUGAAUCAGGUUUACACAUUUUAAAGUAACCAAUGAAUGACAUUUUCAUUUCCAAAUGAUCAAUAUCCAAGUAACAAACUAUUCUUGAUGAGAAACAUCUGGGGUGGAAUCAAGCUUCAUUGAAAAGUAACAAACUUGCUUGACUUUCCCAACAAUUGAUUCCCUAACUAUAUUACCCAUCAAGUUAAUGAGCUCAUUUUGAAUUUCUGGUGACAAGUAAUGUUUCUUCCCAUAUUCGAUUCUAUGUAAGUGGUGUUUCGUAACAUCAAAUUCUGCAAAACAUUUCAAUGAUGCUAGGAAGUUCCCAGGAUUGGGUGAAUUCAGUUUUUCUUUGUGACCACGUAAGCUUCUGGAGAAGGUGAUUUUGGAAGUCCAUCGCUUGACUCAUCUUCACUUACUUCAGAUGUUUUCUAUGACUGUGGUAAAAGGGUAUUCCCCUGGAGUUUCUUCAGCACUACUUCUCUCAUCAAUAAACAUUGUCACUUCUUUGACUGCUGUAUCUUUGUAUGAAGCAUCUGAAUUGUGAUACUUUUCUUCGACGCGUUCAUGGUGUCUUUUGUUUUCGGUGCUCUUAUCAGGUUUCUUCUUAAAUGAAAAGAUAAUGAAAUAAACUACCCUAUAUACCAAGUUACUUACUGAGAGUUACAUGGCUAUAGUCAGCGCUACUCUUUGAGAUUUAGAGUAACCCCGCACGGAAAGAGUUAAUAAUUUGUGUUCAAUACAUACAAUAGGGUCACUAACUUAUAUAACAACGUGAAAUGCAAUAUUACAUGACAGUGACGUAAUAUUUAAUUUAUUUAAAAACAAAUUUCGGACACUUAUUUGGGGGUCCCCCUGAAGUGGAGGCCCGGGGGGAUCUUCAAAUUCUCCCCCUCCUCCCCCCACCCUAGCUACGCCACUGGUUAAUAUAUAACAAACAAAUAGUGAACAAAGUGCACGUACUAUUCGUUGUUUACGUUUCAACAUCCACUCAACAAACACUAUUCCAUAUUGAUCACACUCUAACCUUCUCCUACUGCUGAAAUAUGGGCUGGCGUUAAGGUCAUCUAACAAACACUAUUCCCUAUUGAUCACACCCUUCUCCUACUGCUGAAAUAUGGGCUGGCUUUAAGGUCAUCUAACAAAGUCUUAACAUAGACAUAAAGUUUUACCAGUUCAAAGUGAUGGUAUCUGAAUAUGGAUCAGCCCGCAUACGGAUAGGCAAAUGUUCACAAAAUAUUUGCUUAUAAAAGUGUGCGAAUUUUUUUUUUCCAUUUAGGUUGAUCUCUACUGAUGCCAAAAUAUCUAUAAAGUAUUCCGUUUAUUUUUUCUAGCUUCCUAUGUGUAAUCAAAUUAUCUAAUUUGGCAUCCUUUAUAAACUUGAAUUUAGAGCAACAAUGCUGAAUUGUGUAUUUAGUCUCCUGCUUCUAGUGAGACUUGGAUCAGAAGCUUUGCUAGAAGAUGAUCCAUGUGAAGGUUUUUGUUUCCAUGGUGGAACAUGUGAAGCGCCUGCUUCUAUUCCCUAUUGCAAAUGUCUUCCAGGCUUUACUGGCAAAAGAUGUCAAAUAUUAACAGUUGUACAAGGAACAUGUCCAACCAAAGGAUUAUGUAGCGGCGACCGCUGUGUCUCUGACUCUGAUUGUGAUGACCAAAGAUGUUGUCCCUCAACCUGUGGAGGCAGUGUUUGUACUCACGUCCCUGAAGUCGAUGUAAACCUGGCGGCGCUUUGCAAGUCUGUCAAAUGUCUCCUGAAUACAUCCUGUCGUUUAGCUGUCAGCUGUGAUGGAUGCCCGCCCCUUGUGACAUGUAUUCAAAACCAUCUGCUCGAAGAAGGACACAGCAGCAUUCUUCCAUUGAAGUGACUUCAAUACUGAGCAACGCUAGCACUUCAAGAAAACAGAAGAGCAGAAGCUCAAUACAUUUAUAUAAUGAGAAUAUAAAUCAUGUGUUUGUUCUUCAUGUUAUGUUGUACUAGUAUUGAAAUAUGACUAAUAAAGGACAUGAACAAAUAAAAA